rnacentral:rRNA from 1 species
AAUCCUGGCUCAGGAUGAACGCUAGCUACAGGCUUAACACAUGCAAGUCGAGGGGCAGCAUGGACCCAGCUUUGCUGGGUUUGAUGGCGACCGGCGCACGGGUGAGUAACGCGUAUCCAACCUGCCCUUUACUCCGGGAUAGUCUCCUGGAAGGGAGUUUAAUACCGGAUGUGUUUGUCUUUCCGCAUGGGAGCGACAAAUAAAGAUUAAUUGGUAAAGGAUGGGGAUGCGUCCCAUUAGCUUGUUGGCAGGG